CGAAGGUAGAGAAAGAAGGUGCUUGCAAUCUUCUUCCGCGAGCUCAAUUCCUCGACGUUGCGGUCCUCAGGUCCCCUGCAGACCCUGCACUUUACAGAGAGAGAAAGAGAGAGGUGGGGUUCGGAUGCUGCAGCUGCUGUUCGCGACGGCGUUCUUGGCGGCGCCGCUGACGCUGUACGUGCCGCUGAUGCGGACGCUGAACCCGUUCGUGGAGGCGUUGGAGGUGUUCUUCAGGGAGGCCGCCAUGUUUUCGCGGCGCGCGUACCGGUGGAUCCGGCUCGGGGUCCGCCGGAUCCUCGCCGCCGCCUCCUCCCGUUCGUAGAUCUUAUCACUCUCCUUCCUUCUCGUGCUUUUGGGGAGGUUCGUUUGGACCCAUGGAUAAGACAUAAUACUAAAUCUAUGGAUUCUUCCUGGUUGUAUAUAUGAUACAGUUUUGGUUCUUAGAUAUCUGCGAAAUGAGGACAUAAAACCGUGUCAAUUUUCUUAAAUCUUGAAUCCAGAACGAGGCUCUGUGUUUGGUCUUCUCA